CAGUAGCCACGGUAAUACGUAUGUCGCAAGCGUCAUCCGGAAUUAUUGGGCAUAAAGGGCAUCUAGGCGGCCCUGUAAGUCUAGGGUGAAAACCUGCGGCUCAACCGCAGGCCUGCCCCGGAAACUACAGGGCUAGAGUAUCGGAGAGGUGGACGGAACUGCACGAGUAGAGGUGAAAUUCGUAGAUAUGUGCAGGAAUGCCGAUGAUGAAGAUAGUUCACUGGACGGUAACUGGCGCUGAAGUGCGAAAGCUAGGGGAGCAAACAGGAUUAGAUACCCCAGUAGUCCCUGUCUCUUAUAC
rnacentral:rRNA from 1 species